rnacentral:other from 1 species
GACUCCCUGUGGUUAGCGACAUUCGGUUACGUCCUUGAGCCGAUAUUACCAGCAAGGAAUUAGCUCGCACUGGUUCUGCGCAUGUCCGUGCAACGGAAAGCCUUCUACCAGACAGCUUCUUCCACCUUGAACCCAUCGGGUUCAGGGCCACUACCGAAAACGCAACUGUGG